GUGGGAGAUGAGGAAAUGUUGGACGGGCAAGGAGGCAUGGCUGAGUCAAAUAGGAAUCCUGACUUAAUGAAGUGGUGAUUAAAGAGCUCAGCCAUGUGCUUCUUGUCAGUAACAACCACAUCAUCAACAUUAAGGGACAUGGGCAGCUGUGAGGAGGAGGAUUUAUUCUCCAGGUCUUUAACUGUUUUCCAGAACUUCUUGGGGUUCGACCCACAGAGAGAGAACUGCUCCUUAAAGUAACUAACUUUGGCCUUCCGGAUAGCCUGAGUGAAUUUAUAUCUCAUUUGCCUGAACGAGAGCCAGUCAGCCUGAGUAUGCGUGUGCUGAGUCUUUUGCCAAAUGCAAUUCUUGAGGUGGUAGUAACUCUGCAAGAUCACGGUCGAAUCAGGAGCUGAACCUGUUUUUUUAAUUCUAAUUUUCUUUAUGGGGGCGUGUUAUGUUAACAAUACCACUGAAAAUAUAAAAAAAAUAAGGUCCAAGCAUCUUCAACAGAUGGGAACAAGCUGAUUCUAUACCAUUUCACAGAGGCCAGGUCAUGAAGGGAAGGCUUGCUCGUUAAAGUUGUUUAGCAAGCGUCUAUGACAAAUCAGGAAAGGUGGUUUCACUGGGCAGCCAUUACGAACACAGGCUGUAAAACAGUGAUCACUAAGGUCCUUACAGGAAACACCAGACUGAUACCUACCUAUCAGGAUUAUUUGUGAGGAUAACAUUGAGGAGAGUAGCCUUGUGGGAUUGGUGAUAAUCUGAGCAAGAUUUAGGGAGUCCCAUUGCUUUAGGGUUUAGUCAGGUGGUUUAAGCAUGUCCCAGUUUAGGUCACCUAGCAGGACAAAUUCAGACUUAGUGUAAAGGGUACAGGCCUGUGCUGAGGGCAGGUAGGGUACAGGCCGGUGCUGAGGGCAGGUAGGGUACAGGUAGGGUACGGGCCGGUGCUGAGGGCAGGUGGGGUACGGGCCGGUGCUGAGGGCAAGUGGGGUACGGGCCGGUGCUGAGGGCAGGUGGGGUACGGGCCGGUGCUGAGGGCAGGUGGGGUACGGGCCGGUGCUGAGGGCAGGUGGGGUACGGGCCGGUGCUGAGGGCCGGUGGGGUCCAGGCCGGUGCUGAGGGCCGGUGGGGUCCAGGCCGGUGCUGAGGGCCGGUGGGGUCCAGGCCGGUGCUGAGGGCCGGUGGGGUACAGGCCGGUGCUGAUGGAGGACGAUAGCACCCAGCAACAGUCAACAAAGAGCUAUUUGAAAGUUUUUAAAGCUUAAAAACGAGCAAAUCAAAUUGUUUGGGGGACAGACUUGGUGGAGACAACUGAGCACUGAAGGUGAUCCUUGGUAAAAGAUUGCCACUCCACCACCUUUGGAAGAUCUGUCUUUCCGAAAAAAAGUUUAGAACCAGAAAGGUUAAACAUCAGGAUUCAAAACACUCUUCCUUAACCACAUCUCAGUAAUGACCAACACAUCUGGAUUGGAGAUGUGAACCCACACUUUCAAUGGAUCCAUUUUAGGUAAUAAGCUUCCGAGUGUUAACGUGCAGAAAACCCCAAGGCUUUU
rnacentral:lncRNA from 1 species